GUUAAUUUGGCAGAGAAGUGCAUUGAAUUUAAGAUUCAGAAAUCUUAUUAACA
rnacentral:tRNA from 1 species